UACGGAGGGAGCUAGCGUUGUUCGGAAUUACUGGGCGUAAAGCGUGCGUAGGCGGUUAUUCAAGUCAGAGGUGAAAGCCCGGGGCUCAACCCCGGAACGGCCUUUGAAACUAGGUAACUAGAAUCUUGGAGAGGUUAGUGGAAUUCCGAGUGUAGAGGUGAAAUUCGUAGAUAUUCGGAAGAACACCAGUGGCGAAGGCGACUAACUGGACAAGUAUUGACGCUGAGGUACGAAAGCGUGGGGAGCAAACAGG
rnacentral:rRNA from 1 species